rnacentral:rRNA from 1 species
AUGCAUGUUGGUACGAUUAUGGAGUCGAAUGAUGCAACUUUCUUUGAGGACAUAUUUCCUAUGAAGGAUAUGUCGAUUUCAUCAAAUCAGGAGAUACCUACUCCAUCUAGUGAGGAAUUCGCUGUAAUUCCUGAACCCACCAUUGCGAUGGAACACGUUGAGAAUCCUGUUGAGGGUGACAAUGGAACUCCUGUGAGGAGUAAGAGACAGAGGACUGCAAAGUCCUUUGGUGAUGAUUUCAUUGUGUACCUCGUGGAUGACACACCCAGGACUAUUUCAGAAGCCUAUGCAUCUCCUGAUGCUGACUACUGGAAGGAAGCUGUACGUAGCGAGAUGGAUUCCAUCUUAGCUAAUGGAACCUGGGAGAUCACUAACCGUCCUUAUGGGUGCAAACCUGUAGGAUGUAAGUGGGUGUUCAAGAAGAAGCUUAGACAUGAUGGUACGAUUGAAAAGUACAAGGCACGGCUUGUGGCCAAGGGUUAUACCCAGAAAGAAGGUGAAGACUUCUUUGAUACUUACUCACCCGUGGCUAGACUGACCACAAUUCGGGUGCUACUAUCACUAGCUGCCUCACAUGGUCUUCUCGUUCAUCAAAUGGACAUUAAGACGGCUUUCCUCAAUGGAGAGUUGAAGGAGGAAAUUUACAUGGAUCAGCCAGAUGGUUUUGUAGUACCUGGUCAGGAAGGAAAGGUGUGCAAGUUAUUAAAGUCUUUAUAUGGCCUUAAACAAGCUCCUAAGGAGUGA